UACGGAGGGGGCGAGCGUUAAUCGGAAUUACUGGGCGUAAAGCGCACGUAGGCGGUUGGGUAAGUCGGAUGUGAAAGGCCAGGGCUUAACCUGGGAAGUGCACCCGAUACUGCCGAGCUGGAGUAUGGAAGAGGGUAGCGGAAUUUCCGGUGUAGCGGUGAAAUGCGUAGAUAUCGGGAGGAACACCAAUGGCGAAGGCAGCGACCUGGGCCAAUAAUGACGCUGAGGUGCGAAAGCGUGGGGAGCAAACAGG
rnacentral:rRNA from 1 species